UUUCCGUAGGUGAACCUGCGGAAGGAUCAUUACUGAGUGAGGGCCCUCUGGGUCCAACCUCCCACCCGUGUUUAUUGUACCCUGUUGCUUCGGUGCGCCCGCCUCACGGCCGCCGGGGGGCUUCUGCCCCCGGGUCCGCGCGCACCGGAGACACCAUUGAACUCUGUCUGAAGAUUGCAGUCUGAGCAUAAACUAAAUAAGUUAAAACUUUCAACAACGGAUCUCUUGGUUCCG
rnacentral:misc_RNA from 1 species